rnacentral:rRNA from 1 species
AAUGAACGCUGGCGGCAUGCCUUACACAUGCCAGUCGAACGGCAGCAUGACCUAGCUUGCUAGGUUGAUGGCGAGUGGCGCACGGGUGAGUAAUGCAUCGGAACGUGCCUUUUAGUGGGGGAUAACGUAGCGAAAGUUACGCUAAUACCGCAUAUUCUCUGAGGAGGAAAGCAGGGGACCUUCGGGCCUUGCGCUAGAAGAGCGGCCGAUGUCGGAUUAGCUAGUUGGUGAGGUAAAGGCUCACCAAGGCAACGAUCCGUAGCGGGUCUGAGAGGAUGAUCCGCCACACUGGGACUGAGACACGGCCCAGACUCCUACGGGAGGCAGCAGUGGGGAAUUUUGGACAAUGGGCGCAAGCCUGAUCCAGCCAUGCCGCGUGAGUGAAGAAGGCCUUCGGGUUGUAAAGCUCUUUCGGCUGGGAAGAAAUCGCACCCUCUAAUACAGGGUGUGGAUGACGGUACCAGCAUAAGAAGCACCGGCUAACUACGUG